UACAAUUUAUGAGUGGAUAUAUUUACAUUAUUUUGGAUAUAGGGACAGCUUCUUCCAAGUUAGUUACAAGCAGAUAAUGAACAUCUGUUGUGUAACUGUGGAUAUGUUUGACACGACAGUAAUGCAUACACAGUACUCGCAUCUGUGUAACAACUUUGCAGUACCCACCGCAGCAACCUCAGCGUAAGUCUCUGUCACUGUUAGGUUGAGGGUGGAAAAAAUAUUUCACACCCACUCAUGCACAGCUCAUUUCGUCGUACUUGAGGGGAGUUUAUACUGCAGAGAGGAUGAGAAGACAACGAUGAAAAUGUCACUGAUGCAAUCAGCAUUGGUGCUACUGACUGUUUGCGUUGCAGCAGCGGCUCAGUGUUCCGCCAUUCUGAAUGAAUCCCAAGCAAGAGUGGACGUUCCCGUGGGUUCCUCCCUCACUUUGUGCCACCGACUGAAGAGCUGGACAUCAAAGAGAUUCAGAAUUUGCUGGCAUUUUAAUCCAUCUGAACCCUCGUUGGUCCACUCUGAGCAACUCUUUUGCUCCAACAUGUCAAACAGAACCGAGCAAAAAGAGAUAUCACUGAACUAUACUUUAGCCAAUGUCACUCAGCAACACAGCGGAUGGUACUUUUGCCGCAUCCAUGUGGAUAUUCCGGAACUGAGGACUCUGGACAGUAGUGGAACACCAGUGCUUGUUCAUCAAGUGGAGGUGGCUCCGGCAUGAUGUCAGGGUGCCACCUGGAUACUUCCCUGGUGAGGUGUUCCAGGCAUGUCCCACUGGGAAGAAUCCCGAGGACGAGCCAGGACAUGCUGGAGAGACUAUGUCUCCCAGCUGGCUUGGGAACGCCUCGAGGUCCUCCAGGAGGAGCUGGACAAUGUGGCUGGGGAGAGGGGAGUCUGGGCUUCCCUGCUUAAGCUGCUGCCACUGAGACCUGACCUCAGAUAAGUGGAGGACAAUGAAUUGGAUGGAUGGAUAUUACAAGCUUUUCUUUUUUUGGCUUUGGGCGUUCCACUGUACAUUGUCAGUCAAAAGUUUGGAAAAAGACUCAAAUUCCUGUUUUUUUUCAUGAUUUAAAAAAAAUUCUAGAAUUUUAGAUUAAUAGUUAAGUCGGUGACAUAUUGAAAUAUUGAAAGACUUAUAUUUGGUUCAAAAAAAUGAUAAUCAAAAUAAAAUGUUUUUAUGAUUUUGAUUCUCCAAGUCGGACCCGUUGCCAAGACAACAGCAUUGCGCAUCUUCUUCUGCUAUUCUCAGUCAGCUAUGUGAUGUGGAUGUUUCUUUAUGUCCUGAAAUGACUUUCAGUUCACGGCUGUGCAUUAUCAAGAGUUACCGGUAAUAGUUAGAAUUUAUGGGCCUCUUAAUUUGUUUGAGACCAUUUCAAUAUAAAGGUGUUUCCAAACUUUUGCCUUUUACUGUAUAUCAAUCAUUGGCAUGAGCACAAAGCACUUCAAUCUAGCCAUGUAUUUCUUGCAGAGGGUGUUUCUGUGCCUCCCACAGAUGUGCCCCUGCUGGAGACGUGGUGGCUGUGGGUCACUGUUGGAGUGCUCGGCCUCAUCAUACCGGCACUGCUGAUUCUGUGUGUGCUUCUGAUACGACGAUGUAGACGCAAAGAACCACACUGUGCAAUCUACGUGAACACUCAUCAUUCCUCACGACCACCUGUUGUCAGGGACCAGCUCAGCGUGGCCCCCAGGUGCCAAGUGGCUCGCACUCCAAGUCCUGCCAGGGACAAGCACAGCAGCAGCAAACAGAGGUCCAGACAGUAGCCAAGAUAGAGACCAAAAAUUCCACACGUUUCUUUCCAAUGUUAUUUAUAUUUAAUGCAGAGUUGUCAUUCCAAUGUGGCAAUCAAUGUGUAAUGUCUUCUAAUUCUUUUUAAGAAUUGUUUUCUGAGUUUUUUCCCCACCCCCAUUUUCUUUGUCGUUUUACACACAAAAUGUUACACUUGUUACACGUUGUGCACUGUACAUGUGGUUUGAUGACAUGUGUGCAUAUUGCAGUGUGUACAAAAACUGCCUGUGUGCACUGAGGUUUUUUUUAGCCCGUUUAAAUAACGAUAUAAGAGAAUUUAAGCUUCAAUCCACGUCCACAUGUGUGAGACUGUGGAUGGCGGAGGAAAGCAUAGAUCCUUCUUCAUGUCACACACAUACAUUAAAGUAAAUCAACUGAAGCUUCUGGUUGUCAAGGCAUACAACACCUCAUCCAGAAAUGGUAUUGCAAGUUUCACCAGGAAAUAACCAGCUUGUUUCCAGCCUGUAACACACACUCAAGAUCGACUCAGCCAUUUUUCACACUGAAAGUCAUGCCUGCUAAAGGGUUCUUUAACUUCAACUCCCAUUGUGCAAGUGUCAUAGAACUCCAUCCAAAAUUCUGUUUCUUAUGGACGUUUAAGAUGCAUGGUUUUGGAAUACUAGAGGUCGCCUGAGCACUCGCAAUGCAAAUCCACAGCACAAAACCUGUGAGGGAGAUAGCGGUAUGAUAACCACUUGUGCCGGAUAGAUGUCUAGGUAUAUAAGAUAGAUUUAUUUAGGGCAAAUUGAGACAACUGUUCAGUUGAAACCUUCCACUCCAUCUUCUUUUCCAUUCAAUGUUUUGUUUAUUUUUUUUCCAGCUUGACAUUCACAGUCUUGACCAAAAUGCACAGGCACUAUACACAUUGUUACAUAUGCAGUAUAUAACAAAUAUAUUGUACUGAAAUUGAAGCUCAAAUUUCACCAGAGGCCACAAGAGCUGGACGAAACACAUCUUUGUAAAGCGCACAUGAAAUCUGCAGACAAGCAAAAAGCAAA